GGCACUGUAGCUUAGUUGGUCAAAGUGCCUACCUUGUAAACAGGAGAUCUUGCUUUCAAAUUCCAGCAGUCCCU
rfam:Danio rerio chromosome 4, GRCz11 reference primary assembly.